rnacentral:rRNA from 1 species
AUUGAACGCUGGCGGCAUGCCUUACACAUGCAAGUCGAACGGCAGCACGGGGGCAACCCUGGUGGCGAGUGGCGAACGGGUGAGUAACACAUCGGAACGUGCCCAGUAGUGGGGGAUAGCUCGGCGAAAGCCGGAUUAAUACCGCAUACGACCUACGGGUGAAAGCGGGGGAUCGCAAGACCUCGCGCUAUCGGAGCGGCCGAUGUCAGAUUAGGUUGUUGGUGGGGAAAGGCCUACCAGGCCGACGAUCUGUAGCUGGUCUGAGAGGACGACCAGCCACACUGGGACUGAGACACGGCCCAGACUCCUGCGGGAGGCAGCAGGGGGGAAUUUUGGACAAUGGGCGCAAGCCUGAUCCAGCCAUGCCGCGUGCGGGAAGAAGGCCU